GACGAACGCUGGCGGCGUGCUUAACACAUGCAAGUCGAGGGCACUAUUGGGGCAACCUGGUAGUGACCGGCGAACGGGUGCGUAACACGUGAGCGACCUUGCCUCGUGGGUGGGGGAUAGCCGGCCCAACGGCCGGGUAUACCGCAUAUGGUAGUUUCUUCGCAUGAGGAGACUAGCAAAGCCUUGGAGCAAUCCAAUGGCGCCACAGGGGGGCGGUCNCGGCCGUACU
rnacentral:rRNA from 1 species